rnacentral:ncRNA from 1 species
CGGAAAUAGAGUUGCAGGUUGGUAGCUCCUGCGCCCGUCCUUGGACGGGCUCUUCUCAGCCUCGG